AGGCCAGGCGCACACGCUGUCGGGCCGUGUCGCCGGCCGGCCGCCGCCGGGACUGGAAGUGAGCCGCCUGGGCCCCGAGCACCUGCCAGCCGGUGAGUGGGUCCCGCAGCCGAACGCACCCGGGGCGAAGCCUGGCGGCCGCCAAGGUAGCUUUAACCAAGAGAGCAGAUCCAGCUGAGCUUAGAACAAUAUUUUUGAAGUAUGCAAGCAUUGAGAAAAACGGUGAAUUUUUUAUGUCCCCCAAUGACUUUGUCACUUGAUACUUGAACAUUUUUGGAGAAAGCCAGCCUAAUCCAAAGACUGUGAAACUUUUAAGUGGAGUGGUGGAUCAAACCAAAGAUGGAUUAAUAUCUUUUCAAGAAUUUGUUGCCUUUGAAUCUGUCCUGUGUGCCCCUGAUGCUUUGUUUAUGGUAGCCUUUCAGCUGUUUGACAAAGCUGGCAAAGGAGAAGUAACUUUUGAGGAUGUUAAGCAAGUUUUUGGACAGACCAGAAUUCAUCAACAUAUUCCAUUUAACUGGGACUCAGAAUUUGUGCAACUACAUUUUGGAAAAGAAAGAAAAAGACACCUGACAUAUGCGGAAUUUACUCAGUUUUUAUUGGCUGCUGGAGGUACCACAUCCCAUCAAGUUAGUUUCUCCUAUUUUAAUGGAUUUAAUUCGCUCCUUAACAACAUGGAACUCAUUAGAAAGAUCUACAGCACUCUGGCUGGCAACAGGAAAGAUGUUGAGGUGACUAAGGAGGAGUUUGUUCUGGCAGCUCAGAAAUUUGAUCAGGUUACACCCAUGGAAGUUGACGUCUUGUUUCAGUUGUUAGCAGAUUUAUAUGAGCCAAGGGGACGUAUGACCUUAGCAGACAUUGAACGGAUUGCUCUCUGGAAGAGGGAACUCUGCCCUUUAACUUGGCUGAGGCCCAGAGGCAGAAGGCCUCGGGUGAUUCAGCUAGACCAGUUCUUUUACAAGUUGCAGAGUCGGCCUACAGGUUUGGUCUGGGUUCUGUUGCUGGAGCUGUUGGAACCACUGCUGUGUAUCCUAUUGACCUUGUAAAAACUCGAAUGCAGAACCAAGGAUCAACUGGCUCUUUUGUGGGAGAACUCAUGUAUAAAAACAGCUUUGACUGUUUUAAGAAAGUGCUACGCUAUGAAGGCUUCUUUGGACUGUACAGAGGUCUGUUGCCGCAGUUAUUGGGAGCUGCCCCAGCGAAGGCCAUAAAACUUACAGUGAAUGAUUUUGUGAGGGAUAAAUUUAUGCACAAAGGUGGUUCGGUCCCACUUGCAGCAGAAAUUCUUGCUGGAGGCUCCCAGGUGAUUUUCACAAAUCCUUUAGAAAUCGUCAAGAUCCGUUUGCAAGUGACCGGAGAAAUCAACACUGGUCUGCGAGUCAGUGCCCUGUCGUGCGGGACCUGGGGUUCUUUGGGAUCUACAAGCGUGCCAAAGCAUGCUUCCUGUGGGACAUUCCUUUCUCGGCCGUCUACUUUCCGUGCUAUGCUCAUGUGAAGGCUUCCUUUGCAAAUGAAGAUGGGCAGGUUAGCCCAGGAAGCCUGCUCUUAGCUGGUGCCAUAGCUGGUAUGCGUGCAGCAUCUUUAGUGACCCCUGCUGAUGUUAUCAAGACGAGAUUACAGGUGGCUGCCCGGGCUGGCCAAACCACUUACAGUGGAGUGAUACAGACUGCUUUAGAAAGAUACUACGGGAAGAAGGCCCAAAAGCUCUGUGGAAAGGAGCUGGUGCUCGUGUAUUUCGAUCCUCACCCCAGUUUGGCGUAACUUUGCUGACUUACGAAUUGCUACAAAGAUGGUUCUACAUUGAUUUUGGAGGAGUAAAACCCAUGGGAUCAGAGCCAGUUCCUAAAUCCAGGAUCAACCUACCUGCCCCGAAUCCUGAUCACGUUGGGGGCUACAAACUGGCAGUUGCUACAUUUGCAGGGAUCGAAAACAAAUUUGGACUUUACCUACCUCUCUUCAGGCCAUCAGCAUCUACCUCAAAGGCUGUUGGCGGAGGCCCGUAGGAAAACCAGCCCUGGGAUAGUGCUGUCUUUUUGUGGGUACUACAGUAAAGAACAUCCCUCCUGGGAGUGAAGCAAUGCUUCAUCCCUUUCACAUCCAUCUCUUGUUCAAAUUCAAGUCCAGGCUUUUUAUCAUGUGAAAUCAUUUAUUUUCUGUGUGCUUUCUUAACCAGAUCAUUGUAAAAUUAUUCAUAAUUAUUCUUUGGCCCUCUUCCCAGAAACCUUUGUAUCUGACAAUUGCUGGGAUUUGGUCCACACUAACAUGAUUUGGGGAAAGGAGCAAGUCAGAAUAGAAAUUACUACUCCCCUCCUUGAACUAGGAUUGUAGUCCCAAAGAGGCUACCGUAAGGCAAUCAUGGUGCUCUGAGCAGUGUUCUGUGUGUGUGUUUUAAACUGGUAGGAAGCUGGGUGCAUGUUUAUAAAAAUAACGAACACUGGAAGAAAUGAAAAAAUAUAUGUCAGAAAUAUUCAGCCUAGCACAAAUUCUGUCUCUGGAUUAUAUUAUGAAGCUUCUAUGUGAAACAUGCUUCUUUGUAAUGAAAACCACAUUGAAGAUGUUUAGUAAUCAUAUUCUGUUACUGGUACCAAGACUACUAGGGAAAUGCCUUUGUACUUUAGGGAAGUACUUUAGACAUUUUAUUUAUAGACAGAAAAACUGAGAUGUAGCCCCUCUCCUGGAAAUGCUAAUUUUGAAAAACUGCUCAUCUGAUGCACAUGUACUGAUUACUGCCUAUUUUAAUAAACACUCUUGAAAAAUG